CCUACGGGCGGCAGCAGUGGGGAAUAUUGCACAAUGGGGGAAACCCUGAUGCAGCGACGCCGCGUGAGUGAAGAAGUAUUUCGGUAUGUAAAGCUCUAUCAGCAGGGAAGAAAAUGACGGUACCUGAUUAAGAAGCCCCGGCUAACUACGUGCCAGCGGCCGCGGUAAUACGUAGGGGGCAAGCGUUAUCCGGAUUUCCUGGGUGUAAAGGGAGCGUAGACGGCAGUACAAGUCUGGAGUGAAAUGCCGGGGCUUAACCCCGGAACUGCUUUGGAAACGGUGCAGCUAGAGGGCAGGAGAGGUAAGUGGAAUUGCUAGUGUAGCGGUGAAAUGCGUAGAUAUUAGGAGGAACACCAGUGGCGAAGGCGGCUUACUGGACUGUAACUGACGUUGAGGCUCGAAAGCGCGGGUAUCGAACAGGAUUAGAUACCCCUGUAGUC
rnacentral:rRNA from 1 species